rnacentral:rRNA from 1 species
UACGAGUGCCUCAAGCGUUAUCUGGAAUUAUUGGGCGUAAAGGGUGCGCAGACUGUCGCGUUAGUCUCAUGUUAAAGCCUACGGCUCAACCGUAGAAUCGCAUGGGGAAACGGCGCGACUUGAGCAUGUGAGGGGUCUAGGGAACUCUAGGUGUAGGGGGUGAAAUCCGUUGAUAUCUAGGGGAACACCAAAAGCGAAGGCACUAGACUGGCACAUUUCUGACGUUCAUGCACGAAAGCGUGGGUAGCGAAUGGG